GCUUGGAGACUGUCUGGAGUCUGUCUGAAAUUGAUAAAAUUGGAGAUGGGAGUUUUUUUUAACAUCUCUUUGCACAUUUACAAGGAAGCCGCCUGCUGGAAAUGGGAUUUUUUUUUUGCUCUCCUCCUCAAACGCCUUCGCUCACGAGUCGCCACGCUCAGCCCAAAUAUAUAUUUUUUUAGAUAAACGCUGUGAAAGUUUUUUCUUCCUGCAGUCUAUCAGCAGACAGCUCUUUAUGCACAGGCAGGGGAUCAGCAGGCUGGAGUUCAAGAGGAGUGCACCAUCCAGAAGGCAGCCUGCACCAGCUCAGAAAGGAGAUCCAUGGUUUCUUGUAUCCUGUCAUGCCUUCAUGUUUUCGACGCUGGAGCGUGUCCGACCAAAUGGUAAGAUC